rnacentral:lncRNA from 10 species
AGGGGAGGGGAAGGAAAGGGAGGCGGGGCAGGCUCUCCGCGAGCCCCUCCCCAGCUCCCCGCCGCCCCCACCUCACGAGCUCUCGCGAUAGCGGUGCAAGCCCACCCCGGCCCUCCGGCUGCGGCAUGGGGACUCUCACCUUCUGGUCUCCUCUGCUGCUAGGGACGACGCCCAGCGUGUGCGCCGCGGCUGCCCGGCCCCCCUGUCCACCCGGUUAGGAGUCAUGGCAGAGCUCUCGGAGCCGCUCAGCUGGGCUCCAGAGGUCAGGGAGGAAGUGGGCUUCAGCUCGGGGAUGUCAAGGUCCCGCAGUGAGGGAUGGAAUUACCACCGGAGUUAGGCCCACCGUGAGUGUCCGGCCAAGGGCGGUGAAAGCACUAUUUACCGUAGCGAAGACUUGGAACCAACCCAAAUGCCCAUCAACGAGAGACUGGAUAAAGAAAAUGUGGCACAUAUACACCAUGGAAUACUAUGCAACCAUAAAAAAGAAUUAGUUCAUGUCCUUUGCAGGGACAUGGAUGAAGCUGGAAACCAUAAUUCUUAGCAAACUAACACAGGAACAGAAAGCAAACACCACAUGUUCUCACUCACAAGUGGGAGUUGAACAAUGAGAACACAUGGACGCAGGGAGGGGAACAUCACACAUCAGGGCCUGUCGGGGGGUGGGGGGCAAGGGGAAGGAAAGCAUUAGGACAAACAUCUAAUGCAUGUGGGGCUUAAAACUUAGAUGACAGGUUGAUAGGUGCAGCAAACCACCAUGGGGGUUGAUAGGUACAGCAAACCACCAUGGCACAUGUAUACCUGUGUAACAAACCUGCACUUUCUGCACAUGUAUCCCAGAACUUAAAGUAAAAUUAAAAAAAAAGAGGGAAAUGUGUGUGUGUGUGUAUGUAUAUGUAUAUAUAUUCAUUUGAGGCCUGAUGCCAUGGCUCACACCUAUAAUCCCAGCACUUUGGGAGGCCGAGAUCGGAGGAUUACUUGAAAGCAGGAGUUUGAGAUCAGCCUAGUCAACAUAGUAAAACCCCCCAUCUCUAUGAAAAAAUAAAAAAAAAAGAAUAAAUAUAUUCUAAGUGUAUUUUGGCAUGCUACACAAUCACACUUAACAAAGCUAACAAUUCA